rnacentral:lncRNA from 1 species
UCAUCUUCUUCCGGAUCUAAUUCUUGAUUGGUUACUCGGGAUGCGAGCUUUACUGCAAAUCAAGUCUUCUGAGGUGCUUAACCCAUGGAAAUCCUAGUGUCAGCUAACCGCGCAAAUUUGUGCCCUUGCUGCCUUUUCUCCUUGGAAGCUCCCUCCUGUGAGGAAUCUAGCCAUCCGAUCCGUAGCUUAAUUCUAGCCGCAUAACAUGACAAGCAACCUGCUUAACUCGUUUCCUCCUUUUCCUCCUUGAUUGACAUGAGUUUCUGGGAUCUCGAGCUGUCAUUGAGUGUGAUAGAAGUGAAACCAACAGGUAUAGUCAGAUCAUGUACUACAGACUCGAAUGUAUAAUACUCCCUCCGUCCCAUAAUGUAAAAUAUUCUACAUGGACGGAGGGAGUAUAAUUUAGGGGUAUAUUAUCUAAUUGAAAAUAAGUGUUACAAAGAUGUUCAUAACUAUGCUUUAAUUUUGCGUUUGUGUGCCAUGAAUAUUGGCCUCGAGUAAUUAAAUUCUCGUAACACCCUAGAAUAUGUACUCCCUCCGUCUGAAAAUACUUGUCAUCAAAAUGGAUAAAAAGAGAUGUAUCUAAACUAAAAUAUAUCUAGAUACAUCCCCUUUUAUCCAUUUUGAUGACAAGUAUUUUCGGACGGAGGGAGUAAUUAUGAAAAAAAUUGAGGGAAUGCGAGACUUUCUAAUUAUUACUUUUCUUUUUGUGCUUGUGUUUUUCUUUACCUUUUUCUUUGGUCGGCAUGUUAGUAAAUAUAAUUUAGGGAAGUUUGCGGGUAAUGUGAUGUAAAUAUAGCGGCAAGAGUACUUAUUAAAAGUUUAUUACGGGACAUAUGUGAUGUUUGUUAAAUCCGCAUAAACUUUGGGGUUGUUGAUUCAUGGAGUGACUAAAGUUCAGCAAAGUUCCCUCACUUUUAUCCACAUUAAAAAAAGAUUGAGGGAUCCAUGCAACUUAUCUCACAUUAAAAAAGAAAAGAUAAAGGCUUCUCAUUAACUCAUCGCUCACUAUAGGUGAAAACAUAAACAAAACUCAUUACAGUUUGGAUAAUUUUGUAUAACACCUUAUGUAUUAUGAACAUAAAAGGUACAAGAAUAAAACUAAUAUUUGUUAAUAUGGGAUAAUAAUUGCAGUCACUUAAGCUCAUUUUGAUUCACUUUGGAGUAAUAUUAGACUUGCAAUUCGAUGUCACGGGGAGACAGGUUCAAGGAACAAGAUUUAGCGAAACAUUAAAGGCCACUUUGAUUUGUAUGAUCCUAAUUAAAAACACGGGAAUAGGAAAAAAAUGCAAGAUUGGAAUAUCAUGCCCAUUUGAAUUCUAUAGGGGAUUGGUUUGUUUGAUCACGUCAUAGGAAAAACAAAAGAUUCUUGACUAGCCACUAUUUUUCCUGCGAAGUGCAAAGAAAUCCUUAGGAAAAUUUCUUAUGGGAUUCAGUCCUAUUUAUCAAACAACCUAUAUUGGGAAACUACCCUUUUUAAAAUAUGAGAGAGAACCCCCAACCUCUGUAUCGAUUGAUGCAGCUCUCUACUAUUGCAUAGUUUUAACAUCUAUAGUGUUUGAUACAAUAAAACCUUCAAAAAAAGAAAAAAAAACAAUGCCAUGCAAACCAAAUGGUAAUUUAAAAAAUCAGUUGAAAAAAAUGAGGAAAAGGAAAAAUCCCAAUUUUAGAUUAAAAAAUUUAAAGCUUGAAAUGAAAAAUCCGUAAGGAAUCCUAUCCUCCAAUAUUUCUUCGAAAAUCCUCUAAACCAAAAGAAUCCCUUAAAUGAAUUAUUUUAGCAACUUGUUUCAUAUUUAUUUUGUUUACCCUUGCUUACUAUGGAUACAAUCAUAUAGAUGGAAUAUUUCAAGAAGGCAAUAUGAACUAAAAUUCAAAAAGAG